GAUAACCUGGCUAAUGUGGAAAGCAGUGAGCCUGAAGACAGAAAAUCAGAUAUGCAGGAAUGUCCUGUCUGCACAAAAAUGUUUCCUACUGACUUUAUUGAGGUACACGCUUCUUCAUGUGUGGAAAGGGCAGGAAAAGAGGUGAUGCAUGAAAGCAUUGUAAUUGAGGAAGAGCAAGCAGCAAUGCCUGGACCAUCCGGAAGUUGUGCAACUGCUACAGAUGGUAGGUG